rnacentral:rRNA from 1 species
GAUGAACGCUAGCGGGAGGCCUAACACAUGCAAGCCGAGCGGGAUUUCAGAUGUAGCUUGCUACAUUUGAAUGAGAGCGGCGCACGGGUGCGGAACACGUGUGCAACCUGCCUUUAUCUGGGGGAUAGCCUUUCGAAAGGAAGAUUAAUACCCCAUAAUAUAUUUGAUGGCAUCAUUAAAUAUUGAAAACUCAGGUGGAUAAAGAUGGGCACGCGCAAGAUUAGAUAGUUGGUAGGGUAACGGCCUACCAAGUCUACGAUCUUUAGGGGCCUGAGAGGGUGAUCCCCCACACUGGUACUGAGACACGGACCAGACUCCUACGGGAGCAGCAGUGAGGAAUAUUGGACAAUGGGUGCAAGCCUGAUCCAGCCAUCCCGCGU